UGUUGCCCAUUUUUCCAACCUUGUUUCAAUACAAACUAGUCAAAUUUCUGUGGCACUUUUGCUGUCCAAAACAUCAGCCUACAAAACAAUUCCAAUUCUGCCCAAAAACUGCUAUAAAACAGUCUGCUAACAGCCUGCUGCCCUGCUCCAACUUGCAUAGAAAUACCAAGCAGAAUAAGACUAAAAUUACACACAAAUGGCUAAAGAAAAAACUGCAUCAAGAAGGCAUCAAAAUAGUUUUUCAAAUCCAUUCAAAUAUUCUACUAUUUCCCCCCCUAAAUGCCUUGUUCUUUCUCUAUAAAAGCCAUCUUCAUGGAAACAAAAAUUACACAAGAAAAAACUCAAGAGAGAAAAAAACAUAA